rnacentral:rRNA from 1 species
GACGAACGCUGGCGGCGCGCUUAACACAUGCAAGUCGAGCGAGAACCGGGACUUCGGUCCCGGGGACAGCGGCGAACGGGUGAGUAACACGUGGGUAAUCUGCCCUCGAUUCUGGGAUAGCCCGGGGAAACCCGGAUUAAUACCGGAUAGCCUUUCGAGCCUUCGGGCGCGGAAGAAAGGUAGCUUCGGCCUCCGAUCGAGGAUGAGCCCGCGGUGGAUUAGCUUGUUGGCGGGGUAAUGGCCCACCAAGGCGACGAUCCAUAGCUGGUCUGAGAGGACGAUCAGCCACACUGGGACUGAGACACGGCCCAGACUCCUACGGGAGGCAGCAGUGGGGAAUCUUGCGCAAUGGGCGAAAGCCUGACGCAGCGACGCCGCGUGGGGAAGAAGGCCUUAGGGUUGUAAAGCUCUUUUGGGCGGGGAAGAUAAUGACGGUACCCGCAGAAUAAGCUCCGGCUAACUUC